CAACGAGCGCAACCCUUGCCUUUAGUUGCCAGCAGUUCGGCUGGGCACUCUAAAGGGACUGCCGGUGUUAAACCGGAGGAAGGUGGGGAUGACGUCAAGUCCUCAUGGCCUUUAUGACCAGGGCUACACACGUACUACAAUGGCCGAUACAAAGGGCAGCGACACUGCGAGGUGAAGCCAAUCCCGUAAAAUCGGUCUCAGUCCGGAUUGGAGUCUGCAACUCGACUCCAUGAAGUUGGAAUCGCUAGUAAUCGUGGAUCAGCAUGCCACGGUGAAUACGUUCCCGGGCCUU
rnacentral:rRNA from 1 species